rnacentral:tRNA from 1 species
GGGAAUAUGGCUUAGUGGUAGAGUGCUUGCCUACUAUGCAUGAAGCCCUGGGUUUGAUUCCUCAGUACCA